GGAGAAGACAAGAAAAAUCAAGAACAGAUUUCACAUUCUUCACACAUUGACUGAAUAAAGUUUGUGUACAGACAUUUACACGACAACAUAUAUGAAUAUUUAUCCUUUCCCUGUAUUCUGAUGAAUAUUCAAUUCAAGACAGACCUCUUUUUUGCUGAUAAUGAAAGGUCUUAAAAAGUUAGCAACACAAAAAUUCAGUUAUCAUAGUUUUUAAGUCACGCCUCAAGAAUGUCCUCUCCACUAAGAACCCGCUUAGGAACCAAGUGCAACCUGCUUUUCCUUCAUGUUUUUCAUUUGGAAAAGCAGGUUGCACCUGGCAACCUGGUUCAGGUAGCGCUGUGGAUGCAACCUCUAAUUCAAACAGAGCCUAAACUGAAUGCUUGAUGGUCCAUGGAUUUCCUAUAGAACAACAAUGAUCUUAUAUCAACCCAACCGCUGUCUUACCUAUCAAGGAUCCUACUUUGUCACUCAGUUCUCAAUCAAGGGUCGUACUUUCAAUUAAAUCCUUUAGUCUUGUACUUUCUUUUCAAGUAGUAGGAGUUGGUAGGCAUAGAAAGUUUAAGAAGUAAAACAUACUUCCUUCCCCAAACUACACUAUACCUAGCAAGGUUAGACAUAUUGCUCGUCCUAAACUACAUAAAAAAUGUCCAUCUGGGAACUGCAAGAGAAAUUGGCCACCAAGCCCUUGUGUUGUUUAGAAGUUUCAACAGUCAUAUACUAUGCAUUAAGUAAAAGUCUAUGUGAUGGUAUCACACUGUUAGACCCAUCUGGAAGUUCCGCUUUUUCUAGCAAACUUCUUCCCUUUCAAUUAAGAAAGAAUUCUCCGGGAAUAAAUGCAAUAAUGAAAAUAACUUUAUACAACAUGUGCAUGCAUGCUCAAUUAUCUUUGAAAGUAUCAGUUACCAAACAGAAAACAAAAGAAAAGAGAAGGGGCUAUCAGAGA